AUCGACGACUCAGCUGCACCAUAAGCACCCACACGAAUUGCUUGAUUCAUUGAAGAAGACGAUUAGAAGCAGCGCCCGAGUUCGGGUCUGUAGCUCAGUUGGUUAGAGCGCACCCCUGAUAAGGGUGAGGUCGGCAGUUCGAAUCUGCCCAGACCCACCAGUUUACUGGUGAGAUAGCUGGUCAGAGAGACGCCUCCACGGUAUGUAGAAAUACGGGGCCAUAGCUCAGCUGGGAGAGCGCCUGCCUUGCACGCAGGAGGUCAGCGGUUCGAUCCCGCUUGGCUCCACCACUUACUGCUUCUGUUUGAAAGCUUAGAAAUGAGCAUUCCAUUGAUCCUGAUGAUCAGUGCCUGAAUGUUGAUUUCUAGUCUUUGAUUAGAUCGUUCUUUAAAAAUUUGGGUAUGUGAUAGAAAGAAAUAUAGACCGGGCACCUCUUUCACUGGUGUGUGUCCGGGCUAAGGUAAAGUUUGUGAAAUGCAAACUUUCGGCGAAUGUCGUCUUCACAGUAUAA
rnacentral:tRNA from 1 species